GGUUGCUUCUAAAGUAACGUCACUUCCGCCCUUACCAUGCCCACACCUCCUGUCUUCCUUUCCCUCACAUAUCAUGGACUUCACUUCCUCCCUUGCUGUCAUUUCCUUCCCCGCCCCUGUCAUGGCUGCCUCCAUCAUGAGGCCUACCCCUAUUAUGCUCGUCCUAUGUAGAGACAUGUUGUUUUCCUUACGCUCUACAUAUUAUAAACUGAAACGUUAUAUUAACUAAAACAAUCAUGCCAUUUGUUUCCCUGUAUCAGAGAUGUGUCCGUGAUAUUUAAAAAAAAAAAAAAAAAAAAAAAAGAGGUUGCUAAAGAGUCAUUUGCACCUGUGGUGUGACCUACAAAUGAGUUCUGUAGGGCACGAAUAUAAGAGCAUUACAGCUAAUUAUCCUGAUGAUUAUUCAUUAAUGCCUGUGUCUUGCAACAAGGGAUAUUGCAAAAUAAUGCAAGUUAUUUUAAACAUUGUAUCUUUACUUAAUAGAAUCUUGCUAGUUACAAAUCGUAUGUUUACAGUAACAUCCUUUACGUUAAAUGACAUUCCUCCGCCUCCCUGUCCCCCGCCACCUUUACCUAUGCUUGCCUCUCGUCCCCUCUCCACCUCGACUGACCCCUCCCCAUGGUUACCCACUCACCCAUCUCCAUCCGCUGCCCCGCUCUCUGCCCUCUCGACCUUACUCACCCCACCGCCCCAGAUCCUCCAGACCCUUGUCCUCCCGCUGAUCCCGCUUCCCUUAUGCCUCCGGACCUCUCUUCUACCUCGUUGUCCCCUCCCCUCCCGACUGAUUUGCCGUCCCUAAUCUCUGCCCUCACCGCCCUGACCCAGCCCCCCGUUACCACCCCUCCAACCCCUUCUCCAGUGUUACCUCCUCCUCCCGAAGUCCCGGUCCCCUCUACCUCGUUGCCUCCUCCUCCCUCGGCCGAUUUGCCGUCCCUGAUUUCUGCCCUCACCGCCCUGACCCAACCCCCCGUUACCACCCCUCCAACCCCUUCUCCAGUGUUACCUCCUCCUCCCGAAGUCCCGGCCCCCUCUACCUCGUUGCCUCCUCCUCCCUCGGCCGAUUUGCCGUCCCUGAUUUCUGCCCUCACCGCCCUGACCCAACCCCCCGUUACCACCCCUCCAACCCCUUCUCCAGUGUUACCUCCUCCUCCCGAAGUCCCGGCCCCCUCUACUUCGUUGUCUCCUCCUCCCCCGACUGGUUUACCCACGCUGUUACGACCCAGCCCCCUGUUCCCAUCCCUCCGACCUCUCCCCCGGUGACCCCUGACCCAACCAUGGCCAAUGACCUGUCUAGCUCGACAUCCGCCCUCUUCUCUGCUGUUACCUCCCUGGUUAAUUCCGCGAUUCCUGCCCCGCCUCCCACUGAUUUACCUCCUCCUCCUCCACCUCCUCCCACCCUUAAUACUCACCUAUCACGCCCAUCCCAGCUGGCCCCCUGCUUUAGAGGCCCGUGCAUACCCUCCAGCUCCCGCUGAUGGGUUUGACACGGGUGGUUUCCGAGAUAUUCAGCCCCUACCUCGACAAAGCCGCCUUGCCCGUGCUCCUAUGCAGUCCAGCCACCCUCCCACUUCUACCCGCCGGUACCAAGGACCCGACCAGGCCCAUUUAGAUUUACUGCAAUAG
rnacentral:lncRNA from 1 species